UAUGCCUGGAAGCCACAUUUUAUUAAAUUUUUCAUCUUCCCCCCAAAGUUUCCCCACGUUCCCUCUUUAUUUUGAAACCUAAUUUCAAUUUUUAGGCUCACCUUCUACAUUCGCCCAAAAUUCACUCUCUACCUUGCUUCAUCUCCCUCGUCUCUCUCUCUCUCUCUCUCUCUCUCUCUCUCUCUCUGAGAGCUGGCGAAAUGCUAAGGCUUGAAAAUCACAUAGAAGAACAACAACUAUCUUCUUCACUCCAUUAAGAUAUUUUCAGGGGAGUCUUGGAGUAAUUGGUAAAGUUGCGUCAUGUGAUCAGGAGGUCACAAGUUCGAGCCGUGGAAACAACCUCUAGCAAAAAUGCAGGGGCCAAUUUAUGUUAGAACCGGUUGUGCAUUAUAUGGCUAUGAUCCAUAUGUGAUUGCUGGCCUAGGUGAUGUUGUUGCAGUUGUGGUGAUUCAAGAAAGUCUAAGUUCAAGAGCACUUACCUUUUUUCAGGAAAAAAAAUGUACAAGUCCAAGAAGAAAACUGUCAAGGGUUUACUCUGUUAUCCAUUCCAGCUCUUAACAAAUUUGCAAGCAUGUGGUUCGUGGCUCUCUUCCUUCCAAUCGUAGUCACUAGUUUGCUCGAGCUGCAAUUAGAGUGGACUAUGCAAUUGUGAUUUAAGCUAUUUUAGUAGGCACAUCUUCAGAGCAUAUAAGCUACAUCUUAAUAGCAACAUAUGAUGUUCUUUUUCUUCUUCUAUUAUAAAAAUAUUUACUUGGUAGAACUUCAAUUUUGCGACACAGUGCUUAUUUUAAAUGUAUUACAGUUAACAGUCUAUAGCCUAAGUUUAUAGAUAUAAAACUAUCAUAUUGCAUAGGAAAGUAUUAAAACCAUUUCAAAUUCCUCC